AGCGAACGCUGGCGGCAGGCUUAACACAUGCAAGUCGAACGCAUCCUUUGGGGUGAGUGGCAGACGGGUGAGUAACACGUGGGAACGUACCUUUUGGCUCGGAACAACUGAGGGAAACUUCAGCUAAUACCGGAUACGCCCUUAUGGGGAAAGAUUUAUCGCCGAAAGAUCGGCCCGCGUCUGAUUAGCUAGUUGGUGAGGUAAUGGCUCACCAAGGCGACGAUCAGUAGCUGGUCUGAGAGGAUGAUCAGCCACACUGGGACUGAGACACGGCCCAGACUCCUACGGGAGGCAGCAGUGGGGAAUAUUGGACAAUGGGCGCAAGCCUGAUCCAGCCAUGCCGCGUGAGUGAUGAAGGCCUUAGGGUUGUAAAGCUCUUUUAUCCGGGACGAUAAUGACGGUACCGGAAGAAUAAGCCCCGGCUAACUUCGUGCCAGCAGCCGCGGUAACAC
rnacentral:rRNA from 1 species